UGCCCAGCAACUCCUAUCCCUACCUCCACGCGGUACCGGCCGGAAACUAUGAACAACCUUAGGGAAAAUCGGGUAACCAACCCUCUGUGGGAACUUUGGUCGUAGGCUGACAGGGAAGG
rnacentral:ribozyme from 1 species